rnacentral:rRNA from 1 species
UCGUACGCACUGGCCCAACUGAUUGAUGGUGCUUGCACCUGAUUGACGUUGGAUCACCAGUGAGUGGCGGACGGGUGAGUAACACGUAGGUAACCUGCCCCGGAGCGGGGGAUAACAUUUGGAAACAGAUGCUAAUACCGCAUAACAACAAAAGCCACAUGGCUUUUGUUUGAAAGAUGGCUUUAGCUAUCACUCUGGGAUGGACCUGCGGUGCAUUAGCUAGUUGGUAAGGUAACGGCUUACCAAGGCGAUGAUGCAUAGCCGAGUUGAGAGACUGAUCGGCCACAAUGGAACUGAGACACGGUCCAUACUCCUACGGGAGGCAGCAGUAGGGAAUCUUCCACAAUGGGCGCAAGCCUGAUGGAGCAACACCGCGUGAGUGAAGAAGGGUUUCGGCUCGUAAAGCUCUGUUGUUGGAGAAGAACGUGCGUGAGAGUAACUGUUCACGCAGUGACGGUAUCCAACCAGAAAGUCACGGCUAACUACGUGCCAGCAGCCGCGGUAAUACGUAGGUGGCAAGCGUUAUCCGGAUUUAUUGGGCGUAAAGCGAGCGCAGGCGGUUGCUUAGGUCUGAUGUGAAAGCCUUCGGCUUAACCGAAGAAGUGCAUCGGAAACCGGGCAACUUGAGUGCAGAAGAGGACACUCGAACUCCAUGUGUAGCGGUGGAAGGGGGAGAUCUUUUGGGGAACACCAGUGGCGAAGGCGGCUGUCUGGUCUGCAACUGACGCUGAGGCUCGAAAGCAUGGGUGGCGAACAGGAUUAGAUACCCUGGUAGUCCAUGCCGUAAACGAUGAGUGCUAGGUGUUGGAGGGUUUCCGCCCUUCAGUGCCGGAGCUAACGCAUUAAGCACUCCGCCUGGGGAGUACGACCGCAAGGUUGAAACUCAAAGGAAUUGACGGGGGCCCGCACAAGCGGUGGAGCAUGUGGUUUAAUUCGAAGCUACGCGAAGAACCUUACCAGGUCUUGACAUCUUGCGCUAACCUUAGAGAUAAGGCGUUCCCUUCGGGGACGCAAUGACAGGUGGUGCAUGGUCGUCGACAGCUCGUGUCGUGAGAUGUUGGGUUAAGUCCCGCAACGAGCGCAACCCUUGUUACUAGUUGCCAGCAUUAAGUUGGGCACUCUAGUGAGACUGCCGGUGACAAACCGGAGGAAGGUGGGGACGACGUCAGAUCAUCAUGCCCCUUAUGACCUGGGCUACACACGUGCUACAAUGGACGGUACAACGAGUCGCAAGCUCGCGAGAGUAAGCUAAUCUCUUAAAGCCGUUCUCAGUUCGGACUGUAGGCUGCAACUCGCCUACACGAAGUCGGAAUCGCUAGUA